UACGGAGGGUGCAAACGUUGUUCGGAUUCACUGGGCGUAAAGGGUCCGUAGGCGGCUCGGUAACUCGGUUGUGGAAUCCCAGCGCUUACCGCUGGAAUUGCGGCCGAAAGUAUCGGGCUAGAGUCCGUCAGGGGCGGGUGGAACUCCCGGUGGAGCGGUGAAAUGCGUAGAUAUCGGGAGGAACGCCGGAGGCGAAAGCGACCCGCUGGGGCGGCACUGACGCUGAGGGACGAAAGCUAGGGGAGCAAACAGG
rnacentral:misc_RNA from 1 species